GGACACUGCUGGUGUUGCUGAUGUGGUCUACAGCUCUGUAGCAAGAAGGCAAUGACAGGUGUGUUGUGACUAAUCCUGUCCAUCAGAUGGUGGCCCAUUCAAAUCCAUUCAAAUCAAUGGAACUUUUUGCAACAUUCUGAGGAGCCGGCGGGCCGGAGGAAAUCGCUUGGCGGGCCGGAUCUGUUUGAGACCCCUGCUUUAGAAUUAGAUAUAUGUACGUCUACAAGGGUAUAAAUGUGCUUUUAAUUACUAACAGUUUGUGAGUUCCCACGCACUUAAUGUCACAUAUAUAAUGUAAGAGUUUUUUUUUUUUUGUGCCCAUAGGGAUUAACUGUCAUGCAAAAAAGUAUUUUAAAGAUUCAAAUGUAGAUUUAAAUAGCUAGCUACUAUGAUUUAUUUGCUACUAAUAUGAAUAUGAAACUUGAGAUCAUCUUGUUGUGAAUAUAUAUGCAUUGUAUGUUGCUGCAGACAUGACAUCUCUUAGAGUGAGUUAAAUGGCUUCCAUUUCCCAUAUGAUAGCAACAAUAAUAGUCAUUAGCCUCUGCAUUUCAUUAGCUAUAAAACUAAUAAUAAAAAAGUUCUGACUGUUUUUCUCUCUGCUAUGAAGAUCAUGUAGAUAUAGGGUUGGUGGUAUUCACAGGAAGAUUAAAGUGGAACAACUUUCUGUGACUGACUGACUGACAUACUAGAACACAGGAAUAAGAACAAGAUUAUUUUAAAGUACUUUGAGCCUAUAUUAUUAAAGCUUUUAAUUUCAAAGCAUA